GACGAACGCUGGCGGCGUGCCUAACACAUGCAAGUCGAACGGAGAUAUGAUUUCGGUUGUAUCUUAGUGGCGAACGGGUGAGUAACGCGUGAGCAACCUGACCUUCAGAGGGGGAUAACAUUUGGAAACAGAUGCUAAUACCGCAUAAGACCACGACCCGACAUCGGGAUGAGGUCAAAGGAGCAAUCCGCUGAAGGAGGGGCUCGCGUCCCAUUAGAUAGAUGGCGGGUAACGGCCCACCAUGUCGACGAUGGGUAGCCGAGCUGAGAGGCUGAUCGGCCACACUGGAACUGAGACACGGUCCAGACUCCUACGGGAGGCAGCAGUGGGGAAUAUUGGGCAAUGGGCGAAAGCCUGACCCAGCAACGCCGCGUGAGGGAAGAAGGCCUUCGGGUUGUAAACCUCUGUCCUUGGUGACGAAAAAAAUGACGGUAGCCAAGGAGGAAGCCCCGGCUAACUACGUG
rnacentral:rRNA from 1 species